CUCAUCAAAUCAGCACUUCCUUUUACAUUGCCGUAGGAGGGGUGUUGUGGGACCAGAGGCAGACACCUCGGUUUGCAGAAGAGACUGAAGCAGUGGAAACAGGAACUUCAUCCUGACAGGAUGCUGGAGAGAAGAUGAUUAAUUAAUUCCCACUUGAGUUAAGUUGAUUUGCUUGCCUCUGUUCUGAGCAACAGGGGCUGCAGAAGGAAAUCAUAGUUUAAUAGAGUGGAGAUUCAUGAAGACAGUGCUGAUUGAUGGCUACUGAGGUCUCCAGAAGAGAGAAACAGCACAGAAGAUUUCAAUUCUCUACCAGUUUUCUGACCUCAAUUUACAAGAUGGACUUAAGUUCUAGAGGCCUCAGAACAGAACAAAAUAAUGGAACUAUGGGCUUUUAAUCACUGGUACAAUCAUGGGGACUUGGCAGACCUCUGACCUUACCGCUUAAUCCCCUCCUUUAAAAGGAACUUCAACAUCAAGGGCACCUAGAUUGGUGUGGAUGCUUUGCCCUUCCAGAAAAAAAAGAAAAUGUACUCUAAAUGAGAUAUUUUUAAGGCAUGGUUAUUGGCCAUGACAGUGUGAGGCAUUGGGAGUUCAACAGUAAACAAGAGAAACAACCCCAUAUUCAGGGAGCCAACACAAUAGAGAACUAAAGAAAAUAAACUGUGGAGAAUUUGUGACAAUUA